rnacentral:rRNA from 1 species
AAUCAACGCUGGCGGCGUGCCUCAGACAUGCAAGUCGAACGAUUAAAGCUCUCUUCGGAGAGUGUAUAAAGUGGCGCACGGGUGAGUGACACGUAAGUAAUCUACCUUCGAGUGGGAAGUAACGUCCGGAACGGACGCUAAUACGCAUAAUGCAGCGGCAUCGCAAGAUGACAGUUGUUAAAGAUUUAUCGCUUGAAGAGGAGCUUGCGGCAGAUUAGCUAGUUGGUAAGGUAAUGGCUUACCAAGGCUACGAUCUGUAACCGGUCUAAGAGGACGGUCGGUCACACUGACACUGAAUAACGGGUCAGACUCCUACGGGAGGCAGCAGUCGGG